UUCCUUGCAAAUGGAAAAGAAAAGAGAGCUGGGAUAGCAAUACUUACAGCAGAUAAAAUAGACUUUAAAACAAAAACUGUAACAAGAGACAAGGAAGGGCAUUGCAUAAUGAUAAAGGGA